GACGAACGCUGGCGGCGUGCUUAACACAUGCAAGUGGAGCGACAAACCCGGGCUUGCCCUGGGGCAGAGCCGCGAACGGGUGAGUAACACGUGUGUAACGUGCCCCGAUGACGGGGACAGCCCGUGGAAACCCGGACGAAUACCGGGGGUACCCCCUCACAUCAGUGAGGUGGGUAGAGGAAGCUUCGGCCUCCGCAUCGGGAUCGGCCCGCGGCCCAGUAGCUUGUUGGGGAGGUAACGGCACACCAAGGCUGCGAUGGGUAGGUGGUCUGAGAGGAAGGUUAGAUAGCUUGGGAGUGAGAAACGGCAGACACUCCUACGGGAGGCAGCAGUGGGGAAUCUUGCGGAAGGCGGCAAAGCGUGAUGCAGGAAAGCGGCGUGGGGGAAGACGGCGUUAGGGUUGUAGAGCCAUUUAAGUUGGGACGAAGGUCGGGCGGUUAAGAGGCGAUGCGGAUGACGGUACCUGCAGAAGAAGCCCCGGCUAACUACGUG
rnacentral:rRNA from 1 species